rnacentral:rRNA from 1 species
GAUGAACGCUGGCGGCGUGCCUAAUACAUGCAAGUCGAGCGGACAGACGAGGAGCUUGCUCCUCUGACGUUAGCGGCGGACGGGUGAGUAACACGUGGAUAACCUACCUAUAAGACUGGGAUAACUUCGGGAAACCGGAGCUAAUACCGGAUAAUAUAUUGAACCGCACGGUUCAAUAGUGAAAGACGGUUUUGCUGUCACUUAUAGAUGGAUCCGCGCCGCAUUAGCUAGUUGGUAAGGUAACGGCUUACCAAGGCAACGAUGCGUAGCCGACCUGAGAGGGUGAUCGGCCACACUGGAACUGAGACACGGUCCAGACUCCUACGGGAGGCAGCAGUAGGGAAUCUUCCGCAAUGGGCGAAAGCCUGACGGAGCAACGCCGCGUGAGUGAUGAAGGUCUUCGGAUCGUAAAACUCUGUUAUUAGGGAAGAACAAAUGUGUAAGUAACUAUGCACGUCUUGACGGUACCUAAUCAGAAAGCCACGGCUAACUACGUG